GUUAUUUCCAUGAAAUUACGAGAAAGAAGACCAAAGUUUUAAACUACUUCGUUCCAUGAAAGCUGUAUCUUUUUGUUCCACCUUUUCUAACUUGUAAUGUUUUCUUUUCACUACAAUUGAUUGACUCAAAAAACACCCAAGUUUUCUUGUAAGUAUGAAAGCUUUACCUUUUUAUUUCGCUUUUUAGGGUUUCCUUGUUGACUUUAAUCGACUGACAAAAAGGUCAGCGAUCAUGAAGACAAGCGCCUUACAAAGAAUCGCAAUCCUGAUCUGGUAGAGAUAAUCCCUCCUCAUUUCCUUCACAACCACAACUACUUUCUCUUUCAACAAGCUAGUUAUUAUAAUUAUUAGUUCAAACGCUUCCAGUUCUCUGCCUAUCGCGUUUCUCGUCUCGCUAUGAUUACCGGAUGGAGGGGAGCCGCUCUAGCAGGAAAUAUCGAGGCACUCUACGCAUCAAUUCAAGAAGAUGGAGAUGUUUUGAAGCGCGUUGAUGAGGUGGAGUUUGUUGACACUCCCUUACACAUAGCUGCAGCUGCAGGGCACACCGAUUUUGUGAUGGAGAUGAUGAACUUAAAGCCAUCAUUUGCUAAGAAGUUGAACCAACAUGGUUUUAGCGCCCUUCACCUGGCCUUGCAAAACGGGCAUAAAGAGACGGUGCUUCAACUCCUGGAAAUCAAUAAAGAUCUUGUUCGUGUCAAAGGGAAGAAUGGCUACACUCCUUUGCAUUAUGUAACUAGAGAAGGAAACCUUGAUCUUUUGGCUAAAUUUUUGGAGGAUUGUCCUGAAUGUGUCUUUGACGUGACAAUUCACAGCUAGACUGCUUUUCACAUUGCUGUUGAAAACGAUAGAUUAGCUGCUCUUCAUGUCUUAUCCAAGAUGCUGAAGAAGACUGAUUGUUGUCAAGGAGUGGUGAACCGGAAAGAUAAGGAUGGCAACACUGCCUUACACAGAGCUGCGGCCAAGAAUUACCCCCAGGUCAUCAAAUCUCAUUGACCCGCUCUAAUUAAUUUUACUUUUGGUAAAAAGAAAUGGAUCCUUUUUUGGUUGUAUUUUGCGGUCAUUAACCGAUAGAAGUUUUUGUCUUGAUUAAACCUAGAUGCUCAAACUGCUAUUAGCAUGCAAGGCUGAUAAAAAUGUGACCAAUCAAGCUGGUUUAACGGCUCUGGAUGUUGCACGGGGCCAGAGGCAUCAACAGAGAUUUUUCAGGAUAUGGAUGGCAUUUCAAGCGACGACCGCAACGCUUUAUUAGUAAUAUUGGGAUUGCUACUAACAGCAACCUACCAAGCAAUUCUUAGCCCGCCCGGUGGCGUUUGGCAGGGUGCAGGUACGGAAACUCGUUUAAGCUCGCCUAGCGUUGUUUGGCAGGUUGGAGCUCCAACCUCCACUCCCACUCCAUUCCAUCCUAGAAAAAGUAGAAAUAUCGUAGGAACAUCAAUCAUGGAUCCAGUUGAAUUUCUUGUUUUCUAUCUUACAAUCUGUGCAGUGUUUAUCGUAGCGUUUUUCUUAACAUUGGGCCUCCUUAAACCUUUUCCCCGAGGUUUCAAGACUGCUCUUCAGGAUUUGAUAUCUCAACCCUCAAGCCCACCUUCCAUUUUAGGAUGACAAAUAUCAGACAUGAAGAACAAAUAAGUCCAGAGGAAGUCAUAUAUGGCAAAAUACCAAGAGAAGGAACUGAAGUUGGAAGCAACAAGGGAAGAAUUCGUGACUCAAAGGAACAGAAGCCAUAGCAUAACAAAUGAUGCUCUAAACGCACCGUUUCACUUAAACACAGCACCAUGGCAGCAUAUCAUAUGUGUGAGAAACACACCGUUUCAGUAAUUGGUGCUUUUCAAAUUUUAGUUUAGAGAGGUUUAUUAGAUUAGAGUAUUUUUAUGUAUUUGGAGAA